UCCUCAGUAGUAUAGUGGUAAGUAUCCCCGCCUGUCAAGUGGGAGACCGAGGUUUGGUUCCCCGCCGGAGAG